rnacentral:rRNA from 1 species
CGUACAGGUUUCCGUAGGUGAACCUGCGGAAGGAUCAUUACACUCAGUAGUUUACUACUGUAAAGGAGGUUGUUAGUCUGUAUAGCGCAAGCUGAUGAGCAGCGGGCCUCUUUUAUCUACCCUUGUCUUUUGCGUACCCACGUUUCCUCGGCAGGCUUGCCUGCCGAUUGGACAAACCUAUAACCUUUUUAAUUUUCAAUCAGCGUCUGAAAAACUUAAUAAUUACAACUUUCAACAACGGAUCUCUUGGUUCUGGCAUCGAUGAAGAACGCAGCGAAAUGCGAUAAGUAGUGUGAAUUGCAGAAUUCAGUGAAUCAUCGAAUCUUUGAACGCACAUUGCGCCCCUUGGUAUUCCAUGGGGCAUGCCUGUUCGAGCGUCAUUUGUACCCUCAAGCUCUGCUUGGUGUUGGGUGUUUGUCCUCUCCCUCGUGUUUGGACUCGCCUUAAAAUAAUUGGCAGCCAGUGUUUUGGUAUUGAAGCGCAGCACAAGUCGCGAUUCGUACCCAACGCUUGCGUCCACAAGCCUUUUUUAACUUUUGACCUCGGAUCAGGUAGGGAUACCCGCUGAACUUAAGCAUAUCA